GAUCGCAUAAACAAUCGUUCGAUAACAAGCCGUGUUAUAAGCAUCUGCACUGUUUUCGUUCUUCAAUUGUGCAGUUGCUUGCAGUCGGUGUGUGCACUUGUUCAAUAUACAUCAUUCUUAUCAGUUCAACAUGCCGUGCGGAGGAUGUGAUGGAAACUGCAAGUGCACUUCGUCGCAGUGCUGCCAGUCGUGCAAGUGCGAUACGUCGUGCAACUGCGCGUCCAAGCGCUCGGCGUGCUCAGGCGCAGGUGACGCUUGCAGCGCGCCCAAGAAGUAACGCGUCUACACUCAAAACAUUUUUGCCAUGCCGUCAACAACAUAUGUACACUAAACUCAUCAUUGGCAGGCCUCAACACCGUAUCUACUUAGACCAGAACCAUCAUUGCCCUCAACUAUGUAUCUAUCAUUGUCAGCCAUUUUAAUGUCCUCCCGCUGGUCAGCCAUUUUAAUGUCAUCCUUCCUAGGAUGAUAUAUGAAGGGUGGGCCAAGAGCCACAAACCUCUUUUUAAUAAAUCUCUCUCAACUUUGCGUGUUCCCAUCCAUUCGGGGCUGUGACGCCGCGAAGUCCCGGGGGGUCAGCUUAUACUUUUCAGUCAAUUAAAGAAAUUGACUAGUUUCUUAGUCAAAUAGAUGGAGACCGAGCAAACCAAGAACCAGACGGCGAGAUAACAUAAUUAGGUACUUACCAAAAUAAUUUCGACGCCCGUAAUUGUUUACCCGCGUAAGAUUUUUGCUCACACGGGCAAAUAGCGUACGCCUAAUGCAACGCUUUAGCACUUUGGCCUGCGGGGUGAGUGCUUCCAGUCAAGCCCUAGCGCCACUAAUGUACCUAAUAUAGAAUAUUCGAAACAGACGCAAGUAGAUAUCCGAGGUUUACCCUAUAUUAAACACAAUAGUGGUCCUUCGGGCAUCCUCGUCAUGAAAUUAACAGUAUUGUUGUAUUGUACCUACUUCAUUUCUGUAUUAUCAUCCAACACAUUAGUACAUACAAACACCAAUGCAAUAUGUUAUGUAUACGGUAAUGUGUAAAUAAAUCAUGUAACAGUAUUUGUUUCACAAUUAUAUGUUUGUGUGGAUAUAAUUGUUUUAUUAAUCAUCAAGUGAUGAUUAGGACACGUAACUCAUGAUAUAAAGGUGAAUUUACACCAAGCGAGCGAAUGCACACGCUAUACCAUCUUCAUAUAAGGUAAAUCAGCCUUAUGUGGACAGACCCUUACGUCCUAAAUCACCGCUUCCUGAAGUACCUAUUCAUACAGAUACCGUGCCUUUCACAACUGUUAGAUAGGACUAACUGGACAAACACAUAAGGCAGAUUUGUCUAGAAAUUAGUUAUCAGAAAAUCGUGGAAGGUAGAAGUUAAAUAUUGUGAAAAUUAAUAUAAAUUGUAUAAAAGCGGUAAAAAGAAAUCGCCCCAUAAAAUUACUAUAAAUAAUUUAUUGUUUAAACGUCAGUUUCAAUUCUGUAUUUAAUUGCACAUUGUCCUAGAUACUGUUAUAGCUAUUGUACUUUGUUAUAUCUAAUCAGGUGCUUCACAAUUUAUCUUAUAUGGAAUAAAUGGCCAAUAAAUUUCUCUGGAAAGUCUACUUCCAUUGUUCGCUCCAUACAAGUACCUGUAAACAGGAAAAACAAUUUAUAUUGGUUUUAACAGAUUAAUUGUGUUAUUCAUAAAAAAGAUAAAGCAUACUUUAAGCUAAAGUAUGUUAUGUCUAUCGCACUUUACAAUAUUUGACAUUGAAAGAACGACUUUUUUAUGAAUAACAACAAACGUAAGCUAGGUACCGCUCACGGUACCUAGCUUAUGUUUGAUCUCGCGUCAGUAACCAGUAUGGAUACUAUGGAUGAACAGAAAAUACAAAUCUAGGUAAAUUAGAUGGAUGAGGACUUGGUAAUCCUCUUACUUCCUUAUAACACUUAUGUUCACAAUUACAAAAUUACAAAAUUAUUAACAUAAGUGUUAUAACAUACAGAUAAAGACAUAUGUCUAGAAUGAUGUCAUUUACUUACUUACAAUAUUGAUGGUCAUGCAAUCACUUACUUCCAAGGUCCACGUCGAGGCAGUCGCAGCCAGGGACGCAUCCGCCGGACCCAGGCAUAUUGGACUUCACAUCUGAAGAUAAAACGAAAAAAAUUAUCGUCGAAAAUCUUCUUUCUCUCAUAUUUAGAUACUAGCAUUCAUGUCGGACGUACGUACAUGAAUCAAUCUAAUCUGAAAUCUACAUUUGACCAUACGAUAUCAACACCUUGUACAACAAAAGCUCGGCUGCACGUAGGUCUAGCGAACGUAAUCAGGCUAUACCUGCAGCCAUCUAAGACCAAAGUCUAACGGGCGAAAUCGCCCUUAUCUUAACCAUAAUGUAUUAUGUUAAGCCGUACAUUUGUAUGAAAAAAAGGUACCUAGAAUGAAACUAAACUGUAUAAAGGACAGAAAGUCUUGAUUUUUUGUAAAAUUGGUUAAUAAUUAAACACUGGAACCAGGUUCAUUUAAAUAAGUUACUAAUAGUAACAGCAGUUAGUUUUAAGAACAUCGUACAAUAAAUUCGUAGUCACAAAUAAUAAUUUAUUUAAGCUUGGUAUAAAUAAAAUAUUUGUCUUUGUCAUAAUUUAAGGUAAUGGGGUAGGUACUUACUUGAUCUCCCUUCAAAUAUCUUCAUAACAACUGAAGAGAAUCAGACUCAAUAAUAGAAAACGUUUAGCCUUUUUCUAUUUGGUCCCAAGGUUUUACAGACAGGGAAUGCCUUAUGAUACUAAGUCCAAUGUUAACUUUAAAGUUCUGUAAUAAAUUUUAAAUACAUAAAUAAUGGGAUGAAAGUCUAGAAAAUAAAAUAUUUUUUGAUGGGCUGACUUAUCCACCGUGGCCCCUGCAUGCAACUAUUCUGCACGAGCGGAUUCUACAAGUUUCUGCUCAAAAUCUCCAAGAAAAACUGACAUUGAUUUGCGUUGAAGGUCCGCACAUAAAAAGUAAGCAUUGGUGCCGGUAACGAGGCGUGACCAAUUGAUGAACGAAUAUUAGGUUAUGUAAAAAAAAAGUUAGAACUGACUAAAAAAUAAGUGAAGCUGGUCAAAUCUAGAUUUCUAGCAAUAAAGUGGCUGUGACAUACGGACCGGCAGUAUGCUGCCUAUAUGUCAUAAUCAAACAUGACGAAUAUACAUAUAUAAGGGGCUUUAGAACACUUAAAACAUUGCCAUUAAUAUCAUGAAAAAUAUUUUCCAUGCUAUGUAUUUAAUUGAUUAGUGUUCUUGUUUCUAGCAUGUUACUAUUACGUAGGUACCAGCUGUACUCACUUUUAUUUGAAUUAGUAAUUGAGCCGUAAAAUUGAUUUUGAAUUAAAUUAUAAUGUUUGUUUGACUUCUGGAUGCAUUUUGCGCAUAAGAAUCCCAGUUUUAUUAAAGACAAGAAUUGAUAUCAAUUCUUGUAUUUUUGGCAAUAAAAAUUAAAUUAAAAAUUAAAGCUCCGAAUUUGCUGGCAUCCUCUCAUCAGCUAGAACAGAGCUGAUUUGCUUGGAUUUUAAGCAGCUGAACAUACACUUUUUCAAAGGUUUGUUUGCCUUUGGAAAAUGUAUGUUCAGAAGUCUAGAUCAAAAUUGGUUCAGCCGUUUGGCUUCUAGGAUUCCACGGACAGACAUACAGGUACACUGGCACAUUAAACUAAUAACUCCCCUUCUUCUGUCGUCGUGGUUAAAAUCCCGAGAAUGAACUGAUUUUAAAUAAAUAAUAAUAAUAAAUAAUCGAUGAUGUGCUUGGUGCACUUAGAAUAAAAAAAUAAGAACACAAAAACAUCGAGGUCUUUCGUUCACCUCCGACCAGAGUUUUUGCCACAUAAUAUAAUAGUAUAUAAGCUUAUUUCAGAGUCUGAAGAAUCAUUACCAUAUCAAGAUUUCAACAUCUCGGUAACACUAGCUCAUCAAAAUGCCUGCCCCUUGUUGUGAGCCCUGCAAAGACACCUGCAAAGAUGCCUCUGACUGCAAGGACAAGUGUUCUUCUGAAGCGGAUUGCUCCGAUUGUUCCAGUAAACCAGGUGGUUGUUGCUGACUUUCUCUCGCAGACGAAAGCAAUCGAAAAUGACGCCAACUCAAGAAUUGAACGAAAUUAUUAGAAUUGUUAAAAUUAAUAAAUUCAAUUGUGCAUUCAUUAAAUUUAAAUAAAAAUAAAUUUUGGUGCU